AACGAACGCUGGCGGCAUGCCUAACACAUGCAAGUCGAACGGGAUCCUAGCUUGCUAGGUGAGAGUGGCGGACGGGUGAGUAACACGUGGGAAUCUGCCUUUUGGUUCGGGAUAACCGCGGGAAACUGCGGCUAAUACCGAAUGCCCUCGAGAGAGGAAAGAUUUAUCGCCAGAAGAGGAGCCCGCGUCCGAUUAGGUAUUGGUGGGUAAAGGCCUACCAAGCCGGCGAUCGGUAGCUGGUCUGAGAGGAUGAUCAGCCACACUGGGACUGAGACACGGCCCAGACUCCUACGGGAGGCAGCAGUGGGGAAUAUUGGACAAUGGGCGAAAGCCUGAUCCAGCAAUG
rnacentral:rRNA from 1 species